UGCCAGCAGCCGCGGUAACACGAACCGUACGAACGUUAUUCGGAAUCACUGGGCUUAAAGCGUGCGUAGGCGGCCUAGCAAGUUGGGUGUGAAAGCCCUCGGCUCAACCGAGGAAUUGCGCCCAAAACUGCUGGACUUGAGGAAGAUAGAGGCGAGCGGAACUGAUGGUGGAGCGGUGAAAUGCGUUGAUAUCAUUAGGAACACCGGUGGCGAAAGCGGCUCACUGGGUCUUUUCUGACGCUGAGGUGCGAAAGUGUGGGGAGCAAACAGGAUUAGAUA
rnacentral:rRNA from 1 species